rnacentral:rRNA from 1 species
GACGAACGCUGGCGGCGUGCUUAACACAUGCAAGUCGAACGGAAAGGCCCUGCUUUUGUGGGGUGCUCGAGUGGCGAACGGGUGAGUAACACGUGAGUAACCUGCCCUUGACUUUGGGAUAACUUCAGGAAACUGGGGCUAAUACCGGAUAGGAGCUCCUGCUGCAUGGUGGGGGUUGGAAAGUUUCGGCGGUUGGGGAUGGACUCGCGGCUUAUCAGCUUGUUGGUGGGGUAGUGGCUUACCAAGGCUUUGACGGGUAGCCGGCCUGAGAGGGUGACCGGCCACAUGGGGACUGAGAUACGGCCCAGACUCCUACGGGAGGCAGCAGUGGGGAAUAUUGCACAAUGGGCGGAAGCCUGAUGCAGCAACGCCGCGUGCGGGAUGACGGCCUGCGGGUUGUAAACCGCUUUCGCCUGUGACGAAGCGUGAGUGACGGUAAUGGGUAAAGAAGCACCGGCUAACUACGUG